ACGGAAGGGAUGAGUAUUUCCCCAGAUGAUCGAAUCUGAAAUCACCGAGCGCUCUUUCUCUUGCUCGAGAAACAUCCAAGCCAGGAUAUUCUGAUCCAU